GAUGAACGCUGGCGGCGUGCCUAAUACAUGCAAGUCGAACGGUAAGGCUCCAGCUUGCUGGGGUACACGAGUGGCGAACGGGUGAGUAACACGUGGGUGACCUGCCCUGCACUUCGGGAUAAGCCUGGGAAACUGGGUCUAAUACCGGAUAGGACCGCACCGUGAGGGUGUGGUGGAAAGUUUUUUCGGUGUGGGAUGGGCCCGCGGCCUAUCAGCUUGUUGGUGGGGUAAUGGCCUACCAAGGCGGCGACGGGUAGCCGGCCUGAGAGGGUGGACGGCCACAUUGGGACUGAGACACGGCCCAGACUCCUACGGGAGGCAGCAGUGGGGAAUAUUGCACAAUGGGCGGAAGCCUGAUGCAGCGACGCCGCGUGGGGGAUGACGGCCUUCGGGUUGUAAACUCCUUUCACCAUCGACGAAGGGUUUCUGACGGUAGAUGGAGAAGAAGCACCGGCUAACUACGUGCCAGCAGCCGCGGUAAUACGUAGGGUGCGAGCGUUGUCCGGAAUUACUGGGCGUAAAGAGCUCGUAGGUGGUUUGUCGCGUCGUCUGUGAAAUUCCGGGGCUUAACUCCGGGCGUGCAGGCGAUACGGGCAUAACUUGAGUACUGUAGGGGAGACUGGAAUUCCUGGUGUAGCGGUGAAAUGCGCAGAUAUCAGGAGGAACACCGGUGGCGAAGGCGGGUCUCUGGGCAGUAACUGACGCUGAGGAGCGAAAGCAUGGGGAGCGAACAGGAUUAGAUACCCUGGUAGUCCAUGCCGUAAACGGUGGGCGCUAGGUGUGGGUUUCCUUCCACGGGAUCCGUGCCGUAGCUAACGCAUUAAGCGCCCCGCCUGGGGAGUACGGCCGCAAGGCUAAAACUCAAAGGAAUUGACGGGGGCCCGCACAAGCGGCGGAGCAUGUGGAUUAAUUCGAUGCAACGCGAAGAACCUUACCUGGGCUUGACAUAUACAGGAUCGCGCCAGAGAUGGUGUUUCCCUUGUGGCUUGUAUACAGGUGGUGCAUGGUUGUCGUCAGCUCGUGUCGUGAGAUGUUGGGUUAAGUCCCGCAACGAGCGCAACCCUUGUCUUAUGUUGCCAGCACGUUGUGGUGGGGACUCGUAAGAAACUGCCGGGGUUAACUCGGAGGAAGGUGGGGAUGACGUCAAAUCAUCAUGCCCCUUAUGUCCAGGGCUUCACACAUGCUACAAUGGUCGGUACAGUGGGUUGCCAGUCCGUGAGGGCGAGCUAAUCCCGCAAAGCCGGUCUCAGUUCGGAUCGGGGUCUGCAACUCGACCCCGUGAAGUCGGAGUCGCUAGUAAUCGCAGAUCAGCAACGCUGCGGUGAAUACGUUCCCGGGCCU
rnacentral:rRNA from 1 species